AUUGAACGCUGGCGGCAGGCCUAACACAUGCAAGUCGAGCGGAUGACGGGAGCUUGCUCCUUGAUUCAGCGGCGGACGGGUGAGUAAUGCCUAGGAAUCUGCCUGGUAGUGGGGGACAACGUUUCGAAAGGAACGCUAAUACCGCAUACGUCCUACGGGAGAAAGCAGGGGACCUUCGGGCCUUGCGCUAUCAGAUGAGCCUAGGUCGGAUUAGCUAGUUGGUGAGGUAAUGGCUCACCAAGGCGACGAUCCGUAACUGGUCUGAGAGGAUGAUCAGUCACACUGGAACUGAGAAACGGUCCAGACUCCUACGGGAGGCAGCAGUGGGGAAUAUUGGACAAUGGGCGAAAGCCUGAUCCAGCCAUGCCGCGUGUGUGAAGAAGGUCUUCGGAUUGUAAAGCACUUUAAGUUGGGAGGAAGGGCAGUAAGUUAAUACCUUGCUGUCUUGACGUUACCGACAGAAUAAGCACCGGCUAACUCUGUGCCAGCCGCCGCAGUAAAAC
rnacentral:rRNA from 1 species